GACAGAGGUUGCAAACGUUGUUCGGAAUUACUGGGCAUGAAGCGCACGUAGGUGGUCCGCUAAGUCGGAUGUGAAAUUCCCCGGCUCAACCGGGGAACGGCAAUCGAUACUGGCGGGCUUGAGGUCCGGAGGGGUGAGUGGAACUCCUGGUGGAGCGGUGAAAUGCGUAGAUAUCAGGAGGAACACCAGUGGCGAAAGCGGCUCACUGGCCGGAAUCUGACACUGAGGUGCGAAAGCUAGGGUAGCAAACGGG
rnacentral:rRNA from 1 species